UACAGAGGUCCCAAGCGUUGUUCGGAUUUACUGGGCGUAAAGGGCGCGCAGGCGGCUCAUUUUGUCAGGCGUGAAAGCCCCGGGCUUAACCUGGGAACUGCGUUUGAUACGGAUGGGCUAGAGUUCGGGAGAGGAGAGUGGAAUUCCCAGUGUAGAGGUGAAAUUCGUAGAUAUUGGGAAGAACACCGGUGGCGAAGGCGGCUCUCUGGACCGAUACUGACGCUGAGGCGCGAAAGCGUGGGGAGCAAACAGG
rnacentral:rRNA from 1 species